AGUGAACGCUGGCGGUAGGCCUAACACAUGCAAGUCGAACGGCAGCACAGUAAGAGCUUGCUCUUACGGGUGGCGAGUGGCGGACGGGUGAGGAAUACAUCGGAAUCUACUUUUUCGUGGGGGAUAACGUAGGGAAACUUACGCUAAUACCGCAUACGACCUACGGGUGAAAGCAGGGGAUCUUCGGACCUUGCGCGAUUGAAUGAGCCGAUGUCGGAUUAGCUAGUUGGCGGGGUAAAGGCCCACCAAGGCGACGAUCCGUAGCUGGUCUGAGAGGAUGAUCAGCCACCUUGGAACUUGGACACGGUCCAGACGCCUACGGGAGGCAGCAGUGGGGAAUAUUGGACAAUGGGCGCAAGCCUGAUCCAGCCAUACCGCGUGGGUGAAGAAGGCCUUCGGGUUGUAAAGCCCUUUUGUUGGGAAAGAAAAGCAGCAGGUUAAUACCCCGCUGUUCUGACGGUACCCAAAGAAUAAGCACCGGCUAACUUCGUG
rnacentral:rRNA from 1 species